rnacentral:rRNA from 1 species
UACGGAGGGUGCGAGCGUUAAUCGGAAUUACUGGGCGUAAAGCGCAUGCAGGUGGUUUGUUAAGUCAGAUGUGAAAGCCCGGGGUCAACCUCGGAAUAGCAUUUGAAACUGGCAGACUAGAGUACUGUAGAGGGGGGUAGAAUUUCAGGUGUAGCGGUGAAAUGCGUAGAGAUCUGAAGGAAUACCGGUGGCGAAGGCGGCCCCCUGGACAGAUACUGACACUCAGAUGCGAAAGGCGUGGGGACAAACAGGAUUAGAUACCCCUGUAGUCC